GAUGAACGCUGGCGGCGUGCCUAAUACAUGCAAGUCGAGCGAACAGACGAGGAGCUUGCUCCUCUGACGUUAGCGGCGGACGGGUGAGUAACACGUGGAUAACCUACCUAUAAGACUGGGAUAACUUCGGGAAACCGGAGCUAAUACCGGAUAAUAUAUUGAACCGCAUGGUUCAAUAGUGAAAGACGGUUUUGCUGUCACUUAUAGAUGGAUCCGCGCCGCAUUAGCUAGUUGGUAAGGUAACGGCUUACCAAGGCAACGAUGCGUAGCCGACCUGAGAGGGUGAUCGGCCACACUGGAACUGAGCCACGGUCCAGACUCCUACGGGAGGCAGCAGUAGGGAAUCUUCCGCAAUGGGCGAAAGCCUGACGGAGCAACGCCGCGUGAGUGAUGACGGUCUUCGGAUCGUAAAACUCUGUUAUUAGGGAAGAACAAAUGUGUAAGUAACUAUGCACGUCUUGACGGUACCUAGUCAGAAAGCCACGGCUAACUACGUG
rnacentral:rRNA from 1 species